rnacentral:rRNA from 1 species
AUGGGAACGCGAAGAACCUUACCUAGACUUGACAUCUCCUGAAUAGUGUAGAGAUACAUGAAGCCCUUCGGGGCAGGAAGACAGGUGGUGCAUGGUUGUCGUCAGCUCGUGUCGUGAGAUGUUGGGUUAAGUCCCGCAACGAGCGCAACCCCUAUUAUUAGUUGCUAACAUUAAGUUGAGCACUCUAGUGAGACUGCCCGGGUUAACCGGGAGGAAGGUGGGGAUGACGUCAAAUCAUCAUGCCCCUUAUGUCUAGGGCAACACACGUGCUACAAUGGUGAGUACAGAUAGAUGCGAUACCGCAAGGUGGAGCCAAACUCUAAAACUCAUCCCAGUUCGGAUUGUAGGCUGCAACUCGCCUACAUGAAGUUGGAGUUGCUAGUAAUCGCGAAUCAGAAUGUCGCGGUGAAUACGUUCCCGGGUC